rnacentral:rRNA from 1 species
GACGAACGCUGGCGACGUGCUUAACACAUGCAAGUCGAACGGUAAGGCCCUUCGGGGUACACGAGUGGCGAACGGGUGAGUAACACGUGGGUGAUCUGCCCUGCACUUCGGGAUAAGCCUGGGAAACUGGGUCUAAUACCGGAUAGGACUCCUGGCUUCAUGGUUGGGGUGGAAAGCUUUUGCGGUGUGGGAUGGGACCGCGGCCUAUCAGCUUGUUGGUGGGGUAAUGGCCUACCAAGGCGACGACGGGUAGCCGGCCUGAGAGGGUGACCGGUCACACUGGGACUGAGAUACUGCCCAGACUCCUACGGGAGGCAGCAGUGGGGAAUAUUGCACAAUGGGCGCAAGCCUGAUGCAGCGACGCCGCGUGAGGGAUGACGGCCUUCGGGUUGUAAACCUCUUUCAGCUAUGACGAAGCGCAAGUGACGGUAGUAGCAGAAGAAGGACCGGCCAACUACGUGCCAGCCGCCGCCGUAAUAC